GACGAACGCUGGCGGCGUGCCUAAUACAUGCAAGUCGAACGCAGUGGGGACGGGUGAGUAACACGUGGGUAACCUCCCAUCAGAGGGGAUAACACGUGGAAACAGGUGCUAAAACCGAUACGGAGGGAUGGACGCGCGGGGCAUUGGCUAGUUGGUGGUGUAACGGCUCACCAAGGCCACGAUGCAUAGCUGCCCUGAGAGUGUGACCGUCCACACUGCGACUGAGACACGGCCCAGACUCCUACGGGAGGCAGCAGUGGGGAAUCUUCGGCAAUGGGCGAAAGUCUGACCGAGCCACGCCGCGUGAGUGAAGAAGGUUUUCGGAUCGUAAACCUCUGUUGUUAGAGAAGCGGUAUCUAACCAGAAAGCCACGGCUAACUCCGUGCCAGCAGCCGCGGUAAUAC
rnacentral:rRNA from 1 species